UCCGCCUCCGUACUUCCGCCCGCGGCCCGCGGCGGUUGCCGGCCUUACCUCGGAGCUGCCGAGCCCGGGCUCGCCGGGGCCAUGAACUUUUCCGAGUCAUUCAAGCUCUCGGGCCUGCUCUGCAGGUUCUCCCCGGACGGCAAGUACCUGGCUUCCUGUGUCCAGUACCGCUUGGUGGUCCGGGAUGUGAAGACCCUUCAGAUCCUUCAGCUGCACACAUGCCUGGACCAGAUCCAGCACGUAGAGUGGUCAGCAGACUCCCUCUUCAUCCUCUGUGCCAUGUACCGACGGGGGCUUGUGCAGGUCUGGUCACUGGAGCAGCCAGAAUGGCACUGCAAAAUUGAUGAGGGCUCUGCAGGGCUGGUUGCUUCCUGUUGGAGUCCAGAUGGCCGCCACAUUCUGAACACAACUGAAUUCCACCUGCGAAUAACUGUCUGGUCCCUGUGCACAAAAUCUGUGUCUUACAUCAAGUAUCCCAAAGCCUGUCAGCAGGGAAUAACUUUCACCAGGGAUGGCCGAUACCUGGCCUUGGCGGAGAGACGAGACUGUAAGGACUACGUGAGCAUCUUCGUGUGUAGUGACUGGCAGCUCCUCCGGCACUUUGACACAGACACCCAGGAUCUCUCAGGGAUUGAGUGGGCCCCGAACGGCUGUGUGCUGGCAGCGUGGGACACCUGCUUGGAGUACAAGGUUCUGCUCUACUCCUUGGACGGCCGCCUGCUGGCAGCGUACUGUGCCUAUGAGUGGUCCCUGGGCAUCAAGUCUGUGGCUUGGAGUCCCAGCAGUCAGUUCCUGGCCAUUGGGAGCUAUGAUGGAAAGGUUCGCCUCCUUAAUCAUGUGACCUGGAAGAUGAUCACGGAGUUUGGGCAUCCUGCAACUAUUAAUAAUCCCAAGACAGUUGUAUAUAAGGAAGCUGAGAAGAUCCCACGGCUGGGGUUGGGCCAUCUGUCCUUCCCGCCACCCCGAGCAAUGGCUGGUGCCCUCUCUACCUCAGAGAGCAAAUAUGAGAUCGCCUCUGGGCCGGUUUCCUUGCAGACUCUAAAGCCAGUAACCGACAGAGCGAACCCUAGGAUGGGUGUGGGAAUGCUGGCUUUCAGCUCUGACAGCUACUUCCUGGCAACAAGAAACGACAAUGUCCCCAACGCUGUCUGGGUGUGGGACGUUGAGAAGCUGAAGCUGUCUGCGGUGCUAGAGCACUCGUCUCCGGUGCGCUCCUUUCAGUGGGACCCGCAGCGGCCACGGCUGGCCAUCUGCACAGGAGGGGGCAGGGUGUGCCUGUGGUCGCCGGCAGGCUGUGUGUCCGCGCAGGUUCCCGGGGAAGGUGACUUUCCUGUGCUUGGACUGUGCUGGCAUCUAAGUGGGGACGCCCUGGCCCUCCUGAAUAAGGAUCACUUCUGUCUCUGCUUCCUGGAGACCAAGGAGGGGGCUGGCACAGCCUGUGGACAACGGGACGGCCAUGCCUAAGACCUGAGUGGAAACUGAGGCAGCGGGUGCUGGCGCUGCUGAUCCCAACUCUAGCAACAGCUACAUAGGCUCUCCAGGCCUUAGGUCACAGGUUCAAGGUCUGCCUUGGAGGAUGAAGAAUCCUGAAGUAACACCAACCUCCCAUAUGGCUCUGCUGUCCCCUGAGCCGUUUUCAGUCAGAGUGCUUUGAACAAGGGUGGACCACUGUGGGAACUGUCCGCCCUCUGCUGAGCUCGGAAGUGCUGUGAGCCCAGCCCGUGCCUGUCCCCGUUUGGGCUGUAAGUCCCACAACAGCUGGCCAGCUCUCCGGCCUUGCGAGUCAUUUCUGCGGGGAGGCCUGGGUCUUGUAGAGCGGCAGUGCCCCGCUCACCCAGCACAGCCGUAUCUCUAGCAAGUGCCCAACAGCAGCCAGACCAGAAUGUUGGCCCUGGUGAACAGGGUGCCAACUAGACUCUGUA